CUAUGGCUUCCACUACAUGUCAACAGUCUUUAGAAAUUGGUUGAUGUUUUUCUUUUGAGAAAUGAACAAGUAUGGCUGUUCUUUGUCAGUGUUACUCCAUGUGGACUCUACUGUUUGGUGCACGUAAACUGGAACGCACUUCAGGAGGUGGCAUGAUGUCGUCAGACAGGGAUAAAAGGGCUGUGUUUGGUAAAGGGAUCGCGUUCGACCCCUGCCAGCUUCGAGACCCUUGGGAGAACAGACCUCAGAAGAUCAGUGAGAAGGGACGACAGGAGAAGGAGGGGCAGGAAAAUAGAGACCUGAAUCGGCUUAUUAAAGAGCGGCACAUUCGACUGAUGGCAUUGGAGAAGAAAGGAAAGGGCAGAAAGAUGGUGUAUUGUCCUCUACUGAAACGGUUUAGGCUUGAUCCUCCACUAGACGCAGCCCCGCCCCCGCCCCCACCCCCACCCACUCCCAAGAAAUCACCACGACGGGUGAAGAUAGAGAUCCCCAAGCCAGUGGAGAAGAAGCCCACCCCACCUAAACCAUCACCUCCUCCUCUGCCCAAAGUCAUUCUCUCUUACAAAGACUUACAAAGACGAUCUGAGGGAAAAUGGUGGAGGGGUAUUAGGGAUAGAGAACUACCGAAUGGUCCAAGUGAAUGGUCAAAGCCCUUUAAGUGUCGACCACUGCAGUUCAGUAGAAUCCUUUACGACCAAACAUUGUCGUGGCAGCGGGGAUGGCCAACGUUCAGCCGGGAAAAAAGCAACAAACUACUGAAAGUUAAACCUUUGGAUGACAAAGUUAACCUUAAAGAGUGGAAGGAUUCUUGGAAGAUGUCCAGGCCUUUACCCAAGCAGCACACAGAAAACAGGGGCAUUACAGAAAAAGUAAAGGCUUUCAGAGAGUGGCAGAAUCGCUUGGCAAUCAGCAGAAAUAGAACAUCUACGGCAGUGGAGAAGAAAGGAAAGAACAGCGACAUGUCUAACUUCAGGUCUAAAGUGGCACCUCCACCAAAUAUACAUAAAUCUGAGCCACCAACUCAUGAGAAGAAACAUGAACCACUCCUUCAGCUGAGGAAGGAGAGCUCUGAGGAAAAUAAGCCCACCGUACCCAAGAGCGCAAAGCCCCCAGCCCCACAACCCAAGGAGAAGAAGCUGCUUGCUAGAAAACCGUCACCUCCUCAGGAUGACACAGUAAAUCUUCCAUGGUGGAAGAAAGUUUGUAGGACGUCCAAGCCUUCACUCAAGCAGCACACAGAGAAUCAGAUGAUUGCAGAAACUGUGAAGACAGGGACGGGCGAUGACAUGUCUGACUCCAGAAAAAUCGUGAUGAGCCUUGACAAUGAUGCUGACAUUGAAGCAGCACAUUUGGAGUCCAGGUUUGGAGACCAGGUUUGGAGGCCAGGUUUGGAGGCCAGGUUUGGAGGCCAGGCCAAGGUGGUACCUCCACCCAUACCACCCACAAAGAAACGUGAACCACCCAAGAAAUCGCAGUUUGAUGCCCCCCAAAUAACUCAGGCUUCAUCGGACAUACUUGAUGUCGAUAAUUGGUCAGAAGCCUGGAAGACUCAACCACUGUUGUUGAACAUUAAAGAACAAGUAUCUCUGGAGGCUUGGGAGCAGGAAUGGCCAGAGUUCACAGAGGAACAAAAUGAUAAACGACUGAAUGCUAAGCCUUUGGAUGACAAUGUAAAUCUUACAGAAUGGGGGGAUGCUUGGAAGACGCCCAAGCCUUUAGCCAAGCAGCACAUUGAGGACUUGACGGUUACAGAGACAGUAAAGCCCAAAGCCUUGACAGGUUGGAGAGAGGCAAGGAGGCUCUCUGGUGACAAUGUUCAAAAUAAUCCUCCAAGCUUGAAGGAUUGGCGUGACUCGUGGAGUUUCUGCCAAGAGCAUCGCUGGUGGAAGGUUUCUAUGGACUCCCAGAUGUCAAAACAACUUUUUUCCCAUCUAAGGAAAAGGGGCGGAGGGCUUUUUUUGUUUUGUUUUUUGUUUUUGUUUCUUUGUUUUCUUGGACACAAUACGGACUGGGGACAAUAGGACUUAAUUACCAUGACAGCCAUGAAGCAAGCAAACAUUACAAACAAAUAAACAACACAUUUAGGUUAAGACAAAAACAAUGACAACCAUGCAUUACUAUCAUUAUAACCUAAUUAACUUAAAGUAACUUUUAAAAGACCAAACUCGAAGAAAACUGUUAACAGUAUGUGAUGGGACAUGUAAGGAAAGGAAAGGGAAGGAAAAGAAGGCUGGUAGAAAGUGAGAUGUUAUGGCAAGGAUUUUGUAAAGUGUAUGUAUGCAGAUGGGAUUAGGCUGUGGGGGAUUGUGGGCUGAGGGCCCUUGGGUAAUAUUUUUGUCAGCAGAUAAACUUUAGAAAAGAUGGUGGAUAAAUGAAGAUAUCUUACGACGUUUACCAUUGAAAAAAAUGGUCACAGUUCCGGUCUACUUAAGGAGUGGCUCUCGGGUCUGGUAUAAUUAGUUAAUUGACUGUACUGUAUAUGAACCAGAAAGAAUUAAGGAGUGAGAUGUUUCGCUUCCUCCUCCGUCUCUGACUGUAGGCAUUUCCUAAUUCCAUCAGGACCCAAACUGACAGAGCUGCACUAGUUGACUUCAAGAAACCCGAAGAAGCUUCCUUUUCAGAUAUGUAGUGUUUGAUAUUAGCGAAUGUGGGACACAUUUUAUUUUUACGUGGGCAAGGAUGUGACAGGGUGUAGCUGAUAUUGUUGAGUUAAUUAACAUAGUCAUGUUACAUGCCUCCUAUUGGUCUGUUCAAACUGAUUCUUUGUGUUUUGUCUUAAUUGAUUGCAGGUGUGACUGCGGAGCAUGCGUCUCCUCCUGUUAUCUUAAAAUGGCUGCAUUUCCUGCCAACCAGGAAGAGGAAAAAAGAGCCGCUGCUACCUCCAAGUCCUUAGACUAGCUCUAGCCUAUGGACUGAACUCCCAAUCACAGUUGAAAAUAAUUAUAUCUAGUCUCUGUGUUUAUUGUGACAUUCUGAGUACAUCUUGUCGGCUCAGUGUCUGUGGGGACUUGGAGACAGUCAGCAAAGGAGGUGGCAUGAUGUCGUCAGACAGGGAUAAAGGGACAGUGUACGACAGCUUCCAGCUCAUGAACCAAUGGGAGAACAGAGCUAAGCAGUUCAGUCAGAAGGGACAACUGGAAAAGGAGAGACAAGGAAAGAGUGCCUUGAAUGGGCUUUACAAAAAGUGGCAGUCUUGCUUGGCGAACAAAAAUGGAACCCCUACGGCAGCGGAGAAGAAAGGAAAGGGCAGCGACAUAUCUGACUUCAGAAAGGUUGCGGUGAUCCCAGACAUUGAUGCUGACAUCAAAGGAGCCAUGUUUAAGGUGGUACCACCACCAAAGAUUCCCAAACCUGCUCCAUCCCCACCACCACCACCCAAAAAGAAACCACCCAAGAGGGCAAAGCCCCAAGUUCUCAAACCAGCCGGGGGCUGGGAUGAGUCAUGGAAAAGCCUGAAGCCCCCAGAGCAGGAAGUCCAACCUGAGGAAAAAUGGUGGAGGGAUUUUAAGCCAGAUAGAUACCUACCUCUCAGCGAAUGGGCAAGGCCCUUCAAGUGUCGACCACUGUUAUUCAGUUUCAUCCUUCACCAGCAAACAGAGUGGUGGCAGCGAGGAUGGCCAGUGUUCAGCCGGGAACAAAGCAACAAACUAUUGAAAGCUAAGACUUUGGAUGUCGAAGUAUACCUUCCAGGGUGGGAGGACGCUUGGAAGACAUCCAGAUCUUUAUCCAAGCAAUACAUUGAGAACAAGAUGAUUACAGAAACAGUACAGCCCAAAGCCUUCUUCCCAGGCUGGACAGAAUCUUGGAAGGUCGCAGGUGAAAAUGUCCAAAACAGUGGCCGAUAUCUUAGGGAUUGGCACGAGUCCUGGAGUUUGUGCCAAGAACACCACUGGUGCAAGGCCCCCAUAGACUCCCAGUUGAUGUCAAAACAUGUGUUCUCCGAUGAGUUGUUGAUCUCCCAGCUUGAUGAGGAGAUCCCAUCUUCAUCAGAUUGGAUAGAGUCCUGGAAAUCUGUGAAAUCUCAGCCCCAGUCCCAGUCCCAAGAGUCCCAGUCAGAGCCCAAAGGGACUGAAUUAGAGGUAGAAAUGUCCCAUGUGCCACUGCAUCUCCAGUUCCACAAGCUUAACACACCUUUCUCAAACUGGCACGAGUCUUGGAAAGUGUCAACUGCAAAUAACGAAGCAAUUGAAGAUGGAUGGAAAGGUUCCUGGAAAAUAUAUAGUCAGAAUCAAAAUCAAAAUAACACAAAAGCCCAAAGAGAUGUUGUGUUUUUCUCAAAUAAGUACAAGACCCAAAGGUUGCGGGGUGUCGACAGCAUGCCUCAGAGUGAAUGGUCUAAAUCCUGGAAGACCCCCAUGCCUCCCCAACAUACUUUCUUGCCAGGUUGGAAAGAAUCUUGGAAACAAAACAGCAAUCCAUAUUGGAAGGAUUGGCAUGAGUCCUGGAGUUUAUGCCAAGAACACCACUUUUGCAAGUCCUUUAUGAACUCCCAGUACUGCCAUCAUGCCAUGAUGAUGUCAAAAUGCUUGCUGACUAAUGAGCUGUUGAGCUCCCAGCUUGAUGAGGAGAUCCCAUCUUCAUAUGAGUGGAUAGAGUCCUGGAAAUCUGUGAAACCUUAUCCUCAGUCCCAAUCAGAUUCAGAAGAAACUGAAUCAGAGUUGGAUAUGUCCCAUGUGCCACUGCAUCUUCAGUUCUACAAGCUUAACACACCUUUCUCAAACUGGCAUGAGUCUUGGAAAGUGUCAACUGCGCAAGCUGUAGCAGGUAAAGACGAACAAGAACAUCCUUCAACAGAAUGGACUGAUUCCUGGAAGAUAUCUUGGAUGAAUCUAAAUAAAAAUGACUUAAAACCCCAAAAGGAUGUUGUAUUUUUCUCAAGGCAUAAGACUGAAUGUUUCUUGAGUGUUGACUGUAUGGUCCAGAAUGAAUGGUCUGAAUGCUGGAAGACCAUCAAGCCUACCCAAUACACUGAGACACAGGAGGAGGAGGAGGAAAAAGAUAGCCAUUCUGAUUCCUCAAAAAAUGUGUCACAUCUAAUAGAGAUUCCUUUGAAUGAUUGGGCAGAAUCAUGGAGGUUCAAGCCAGAGGACGAGAGCCCCACCUCACCCAAGACGGCACAGCCCCUAGCCCCAAAACCAGAGGAGGAGAUGCUGAAAGCCAGCACACCAUCACCUCCUCAGCCUUACAAAUACAAUCUUAACCAGGCAAGCUGGGGUGAUUCCUGGAAAAUCCUGAAGCCCCCACAGAAGGAAGUCCCAUCUGAGAAAAAAUGGUGGAGGGCGUUUAAGCAGGACAGAAAUCUACCUUUCAAUGAAUGGGCAAAGCCCUUCAAGUGUCGACCACUGCUAUUCAGUCGCUUACUGCACACACAAACAACAUCCUGGCAGCAGGGAUGGCCAGCGUUCAGCCGGGAACAAAGCAACAAACUACUGAAUGCUAAGCCUUUGGAUAACAAAGUAAACCUUCUGGAGUGGGAGGAUGCUUGGAAGACACUCAAGCGUUUACACAAGCAGCAUGCUGAGAACAAGAUGAUUACAGAAAGAGUACAGCCCGAUGGCUUCUUGCCAGGUUGGAUAGAAUCUUGGAAGGUCGCAGGUAACAAUGUCCAAAACAACAAUCCAUAUCUGAAGGAUUGGCGUGAGUCCUGGAGUUUUUGUCAUGAACAUCACUCAUACAGGGCCUCUAUAGACUCCCAGAAUCGGCAGUAUCUCCCAGUAUCACUAAAACACAAGCUGUCCAAUGAUCUGUUGAUCUCCCAGCUUGAUGAAAACAUUACGUCCUCACCAGAAGGGUGAGGACGUGCUGAAGACAACAUGCUGAAGACAACAUGCCUCAGAAUGAAUGGUCUGAAUGUUGGAAGACACAGCAGCAGCACCAGCAGCAGUUGGAGGACUGGGCAGAGUCUUGGAGGUUAUCUGUCGCCCCAGAAUCCAACAACUCAGUAUCACUAGACCGGUGGAAACAAUCAUGGAGACUCUCAAACCCAAAUCACCCACAUCAGCUUAACCAGGGCACAGAGCCUCUCAUACACAACGGCCCCAAACACCACAUGCAACUCCACGCGGUUGAACUGCCCCAGGCAGAAUGGAGCAACUCCUGGCAGUACCUCAAGUCAGACACUGGAUCCUAAUACGAAGAAGAAAACAGACAUACAGUAGAACAUUAUAACAUGUACGUCAAAUGAUCAGAUGUGUAUUUGAUCCUAUACUAUUUAUACUUAAUGUCAAUAUACAUACUUGUUAAAUGUCUUAUUACUGGACACAUUGGAGUGUGACGAGCAGAAUUCUCUGCUGCAGAGAGGAGGUUGGGGUGAAUGAAGUGUAUAAUGCGUGGUUUGCAUAGCUGUUGGAAACUUUAAACCUAACCUAAUCUCAACCUAAUCUAAUCUAUUCUAUUGAUUGAAAUGUUGUUGUUUUCUAUCGGCUGUUGUUGCUACUUCUAUUGUUGCUGGUUGUCUUUGUGACUAAAUUAAUGCUUGAUUGACGAACACUUUAUCCAUCUUGG
rnacentral:lncRNA from 1 species